ACUGUUCACAUAGACGGAUGAUGAUGUGGCAUUGACCGAUGAUGUGGCAUUGACUGAUGAGGUGUCACGAUCCUGUUGGACUAAAAUUCUUAUGUACUGUUGAUGGUGACGUGGCAGCAUAUCAGUGGACCAAAAAUCUCGCAUACGGUACAUGCAUCACACAGGAUUAUUUUCAACCAAACCGCGUUACUGUUCAACCCGGGUCAAACCGUGUUACUGUUCAUCCACGUGGUCAAACCGCGUAUUGUUGACUGAUGACGUGGCUCAAUCCUGAG
rnacentral:lncRNA from 1 species